GGGCAUAGCUCAGUGGUAGAGCGUGUGCUUAGCGUGCACAAGGUCCUGGGUUCAAUCCCCAGUACCUCCA
rnacentral:tRNA from 1 species